CCAGAGUGUAAAAACUGGCCUGCGUGGGCCCAGACAGUUUAAGGUCAAACUGAUCAAAGAAAUGUUUUUCUCUAGGAGGUUAAAAAAAUAUGCUGAAAAAACUAUAAAGCCCCCAGAGCCUGAACAAUGUGAAGAAGGGGCAAGAAUGACCCCAGCCCGACCAGUCUGCCUGCUGCUGCAUUCCUGCAUCCAUAGCAUAUGUCCUGCCGCAUCACUGCCAUGCCCAAGAAAAAGCUGAAGGGGAUGCUACAGGCAAUAGAGCCAAGGUGAAGAACAAGCCAGAAAGAUCCGUAAGGUUGUCUGCUUAACCUGCUCCUCCAAAGCCAGAGCCCAACCCUAAAAAGUCCCCUGCAAAGGAGAGAGAGGAGGUACCCAAAAAGAAAAAGGAAAAUGCUGACACUGGCAGGGAGGGGAAUAACCCUGCAGAAAAUGAAGAUGCCAAAACAGACCAGGCACAGAAAGCUGAAGGUGCUGGAGAUGCCAAGUGAAGCGUGUGCAUUUUUGGUGACUGUGUACUUCUGGUGACUGUAUAGUUUGAAAUACUAUUUUUACGAAGUUUUAUAAAAAUGCAAAAUUUGUUUUACUUUUUUUUACUCCUGCCUCAGCUUCACCAGUAGCUGGAAUUACAUGAACCUGCCACCAUGCACGGCUAAUUUUUGUAUUUUUAGUAGAGACGGGGUUUCAACAUGUUGGCCAGGCUGGUCUCGAGCUCCUGACCUCAGGUGAUCCACCCGCCUUGGCCUCUCAAAGUGAACCACCAUGCCUGGCCUUGUUUUACUUUUUCAAAGCUAUGUUGUUAGCACACAGAACACUUUACUGUUGUAUUGUGGGGAAGGGUCAUAGGUCACUAAUAGAAUGUCUCUGAUGCUGGAUUGAUGUGGGGAAAACACCUUUCCCUUCCCAUUUUGAGAGACUUCUUGACUCCCAGGAGGAGGGAUUCCAUGACUCUGAGACAUGUAGCCACCUUGGCACAAAUCCCUUGUGAAGACAAUGGGAUGGAUAUUUGGAUCAGAGUAUGAGUUGUGGAUGAAGAGGGAAAAUUUCUCCUACUGGCACUGUGAUGACUAGUGCAAACCUACGCUAUCUACAAUGCCUUCCCUGUCUUGCGGCUCGUUCUUUCUGAAGCCAGAACACUUAGAGUGGGUGGGGAUAGUAGGGAGAACCACCAUGCUGCAAUAGCAAACCAGCUCCAGAGAAGGGUCUUCAAGGGGUGCUAAUAAUACUUUCUGACAAUGAAUCUUCACUGUGGGGAUAUAAAUUAUAUGCAUCCUAAACUUGAGUUUGCAUCAAGUCAAUAUAACAAUCACAAAUGAUUAUUUCCCUGCACUUCAUAUCAUAAAAUAUAACAUUUUAAUAACAACAAAAUUAAUGUUAAAAUUAAACUAUUUUCCUAAUUAUAAUGUUGCUUCAGAAUAAGGAGUACAUAAUCUUC
rnacentral:lncRNA from 1 species